AUAGCGUAUAUUAAAGUUGUUGCAGUUAAAAAGCCCGUAGUUGAACUUCAGAUUUGGUCGGGUGGUCCGCUUAACGGCGUGUUACUGCUUGGCUGGGUCUUGUCUCUUGGUGAACCAUUGUGCCCUUUGUUGGUGUGCUUUGGGGAACCAGGACUUUUACCUUGAGAAAAUUAGAGUGUUCAAAGCAGGCCUAUGCCUGAAUACAUUAGCAUGGAAUAAUAGAAUAGGACGUGUGGUUCUAUUUUGUUGGUUUCUAGAAUCGCCGUAAUGAUUAAUAGGGAUAGUUGGGGGCAUUGGUAUUCAGUCGCUAGAGGUGAAAUUCUUGGAUUGACUGAAGACCAACUACUG
rnacentral:rRNA from 1 species